ACAAAUGUCAGGUUAAUUUUGUUCCUAGCUCGAUAUUCAAGAAAUACACGCUUUUCUUCCAAGAUCACUAGAAAGGUUCCUCUGUGCAUAUUUUAAUUACAGUGGCAAUGGAUCUAUCUGUAUCCUGGAGUGCAUGUGUGUCUAUGAGAUUCUCUUAAAUAAAUAUCUUGUAUUCAACACCUUAUUUACAGAAUUUAAGGCUUGCAAGAACCACAUCAGUUCCUAGACUACCUCUUUAGAAAACACAGGCCAGAAAACUUCACCAACAAAUUUUCUGUAAGUAGAUCGAGUGCUGAAAACUUCGCAGACAUACUGCCGCUGCCUGGAAGCUAAUGAUAAGGGAAGAGUCUUGUUUGCAGCCCAGUAUUGCUCGUCGCUCAGGCCAGGAACCUGGCAUCUUCUCUGUGACCUGCAGCUCCUCACAUCCAGGACGUGUCCAGAUCCUGCCAGUUAUUUCUGCAGAACACCUCCCGGAUCCUCGUUCGAGCCAUCUUCAUCCCGUAUCUUGAUUACUGAAGCACGCGGCCCUUAUUCAGGCCCCUUACGAAGAACAUUUUCCCUCUCCAUCACCUGAACCGUGUCAAAGCUCUCGGGGUGAAAGGGUGUUACUCAAAUCCAGAUUUUCCCCAACGCUCCUGGAUUCAUUCCUCGGUUGCUAUGACUGAAGUGUGGGAAUUAAGGUACAUCCUUAUAGCUGAACAAGACUGACAUCAUUAGGAUUUCAGACUCUUCUACUACUG